GGCUGUUACGGCCUGUAUCGUAAAGAUAACGGUGGUGGCCGUUACAAACACUAUCGGAAUUCCUUGAAUCUAAGACCUUGCCCAAGAGCACUUUGCUUUGAAAAGGCGGAGGCAUUGUUUGGUAAAAUCAAAAGUCUUGAGGAACUCUGCAGCCUAAUAGAUUGCAGAAGAAAAAGGGAAAAUAUUCGAGCUACACUCUGUAUGGAUAAUAUUAUGCAUUCUUCCAGUCAUUUUUGGUUUCUAUGUAGCAACUCCUUGUACUGUUUACCAGACCUUAUUUCCAUUUUAUUUGAGCAAAGUAUGAAUAUUUACCUUAUGUGGCAAUUAUUGGCUGGUAUGCAUUCACCGAACGCCGUCUUUCUCCUUGGAGAUACUGCUUUGAAUAGCUUAAGGUUCCCAUGGUUCUGGAUCUCCUAACUUUGUUUUGUGGACAUCUAUAUAUGUCAUUUUCAAAUGGGUCAUCCAUGCUUGUGUCUCACUUUGGUGGCCAUACCCAUUUCUUGACUUGUCAUCCCCUUAUGCUCCACUAUGGAAUUUUGAUUUUGCCAAAUAAUGCCUCCAUGAAUUGAAAUACUCGGAAGGU